CCCGGCUAGCAGUAACCACUGCUCCAAGGUGAAGACUUGACAGAAGCGCUUCUAACUCCUCCACGAGGUUCCCACUGGACUAGGGAGCGAGGGAAGCCCAGAGAAGGGGCCAUGAGGCUAUGGCGUGGACCAUGAUGUUACAGCAGUCCUUUUAUCCUAGGGAGAGCUCAGCCAGCCUCGUCCCAGACCACAGCUUCCAUGUCUGCCUCAUUGGGGUCCUGUGCAAAGACCUGCCAUGGACAUUUCCAGUUUCCCAG